rnacentral:rRNA from 1 species
GUGGCGGACGGGUGAGUAAUGUCUGGGAAACUGCCUGAUGGAGGGGGAUAACUACUGGAAACGGUAGCUAAUACCGCAUAACGUCGCAAGACCAAAGAGGGGGACCUUCGGGCCUCUUGCCAUCGGAUGUGCCCAGAUGGGAUUAGCUAGUAGGUGGGGUAACGGCUCACCUAGGCGACGAUCCCUAGCUGGUCUGAGAGGAUGACCAGCCACACUGGAACUGAGACACGGUCCAGACUCCUACGGGAGGCAGCAGUGGGGAAUAUUGCACAAUGGGCGCAAGCCUGAUGCAGCCAUGCCGCGUGUAUGAAGAAGGCCUUCGGGUUGUAAAGUACUUUCAGCGGGGAGGAAGGGAGUAAAGUUAAUACCUUUGCUCAUUGACGUUACCCGCAGAAGAAGCACCGGCUAACUCCGUGCCAGCAGCCGCGGUAAUACGGAGGGUGCAAGCGUUAAUCGGAAUUACUGGGCGUAAAGCGCACGCAGGCGGUUUGUUAAGUCAGAUGUGAAAUCCCCGGGCUCAACCUGGGAACUGCAUCUGAUACUGGCAAGCUUGAGUCUCGUAGAGGGGGGUAGAAUUCCAGGUGUAGCGGUGAAAUGCGUAGAGAUCUGGAGGAAUACCGGUGGCGAAGGCGGCCCCCUGGACGAAGACUGACGCUCAGGUGCGAAAGCGUGGGGAGCAAACAGGAUU